rnacentral:rRNA from 1 species
UACGUAGGCAGCAAGCGUUGUUCGGAGUUACUGGGCGUAAAGGGUGCGUAGGCGGUUCUUUAAGUCUGGUGUGAAAUCUCCCGGCUCAACUGGGAGGGUGCGCCGGAUACUGAGGGACUAGAGUGCGGGAGGGGAGAGUGGAAUUCCUGGUGUAGCGGUGAAAUGCGUAGAGAUUGGAAAGAACACCGAUGGCGAAGGCACUUUACUGGGCUAUUACUAACACUGAGAGACGAAAGCUAGGGUAGCAAAUGGG